GAGACGGCUCCGGCUGCGUUUGAAUGAGAAACACGCGAGACACGAACUUCGGAGGAGAAAAUGGAGCCUGUGCGACUCCCCGCAGAUCCGACUCCGCAGCCGCCUUCUCCGGGUUCGAGAAGCCCCGCCUCCCGUGAGUCCAGCGUUUGGGUCGAAGGAUGCGACCCCUGACCUGCAGAUUCUCCCGCCCUGAGACGGCGUCCUCGUUUGGGGCCUCGUCCAGGAGUCAGAGUGAAGGACGAGGAGAUGGACGCGAGCUGGACCAGUAAAUAAGGAACACGACCCGCUGCCUGGUUACUCUGGAUUUUAUUUAAGAUUGGACAAGGCGGCGCGUCCUUUGUCGGAGGCGGAGGCGGCGGCAGCGUGUCGGUCGUCGUCGGAGCAGGUGGCGGCGGGCUGAGGCUGACUGCAGGUGAGUGUGCGCACCCAGCCGUUUCAACAAGAUUUUCAGCAGAGAACUUAAAAACAAAUGUUUACAGUGGUCCAUCGUUUCUGGCGGGGGUUAUGUUCUAAAAAUAACCCACGAAGUAGUAGUCGGCUUUAUUUUUCAGUUAUUCUAUCUGUUUUAAGUCAGCACACACUUUAUACACUUUUCUCAGUCAGGACAGGUGCGGCCCUUUUUACGUCCUUAUUGCUGCUGUCGUCCUUUUGUUAUUUUCUUUCUUUAUGUAACGAACCCAAGAUUCAUUUAUUCUGUAUUGGAGUCGACAGCAACAGAGUCCUGCACCGCUCCGUUUUUGGAGGCCCACAACCACCCGCACCUGCCUGCACCUGCCCGCGCCCGCCCGCACCUGCCCACAACCGCCCGCACCUGCCCGCGCCCGCCCGCACCUGCGCGCACCUGCCCGGACCGGACCUGGACCGCUGAGGGAUUCUACACAUAAGGACACAUGGGAAUAAAAAAGCCCAGAGCCUCUGAUGGUGAAUGAACAUCUCCAGCUGCAGAGGAGGCUCAGCUGUGACUCAAGAGGAGGCCAUUCAGAACAAACAAAACACUGCACAGCAAGAAGGGUCUGGGUUCAGUCGCCGGGUCGCCCGGGCCUUUCUGUGUGGGGUUUGCAUGUUCUCCUUGUGUCUGGGUGGGUGUUACGUGCUGGUGCUCCUUUGCACGUCCUUCGUGCGUUUUUAUAUCGGUGUAUGUUUUGUGGUGUGGCUGGAUCUGGUAUAAAUAUGCCGCCUGUCAGAGGCGUGGGCUCCUGCGCUCUCGUGCUCCUGCUCUCGCUGUGCUCGCCUCGCCCUCCGUGCACUUGGGCGCGCUCGUCGCCUCGUGCGCUCCCUUUGGCUCGGCUGCUCGCCGCAGGCCGCACCUGUCUGAGCACCUGUCCUGUGUCUUUUGUUUGGUCAGGUUAGUCUGAGGACGUCUUUUUCCCUUUAGGUUAGUGAUGUUGGCGCCGGCUUCUACGAUCGUGUACGGGGUCGGCCCGGCGCUUAAAAAGACUUACAAAUAAAAGUGACUUUUGUAACCUUUCCGCCUCCUGUGUCAGCUUUAAUAUGUUUGAUCCACCGGGUCGUAACAGUGGGUUUCCUCCGGGCGCUGAGAUGGUCCUGACAAACUGACAAACAAAAGACCAGAGGUGGGUCCCGGCGCCUCGCGUGCCCACUGCAGCAGGACGCGGCAAAUGCACAGGACAGUUUCCCUACAGGGAGAACAAAGUUAAAAACAACUGCUGCAAUUUUUUAUUUUUUUGUUCUGGAGAGGUUUUAGUCAUCCCUGCAUCUUUGAGUAAUCUAGAGAUUUAUCCUGAACCCUCUUCAAACCCUCCUUACUUUUCGCUGUAGUACGAGACUCCGCCCACAAGCGUCUCUCGUGCUCCCACACGACAAUCCUCCACAAAUAUGUAAAAACAUGAGACGAAAGUGAACACAGUGACUGGACAAACCUGACGUGAUGUGCAGGAGCUUCAGUCGUGCUCUGAAGGGGGAGUGACUCGGCUCGGGGAGCAAAGGGGCUGGUACUCCAAAACAGAAUUAAAACUUAUAAAAUGUCAUGUGUUACAGUGAAUAUUGUGGGUUUUUUCUGAAGGUUCCAUGCGUGUCCUUAGAAAGAAGCACGAGAGAUCCGAGAGAACAAGCCACUUUAUUUCGUCAUUUUCCAUUGAGAGGAUUCAAGUUGAUUACCAUGUACAACUGUCACCCCGGAACGACGCCUCUACUCCCAACUCAAAAUCAGGGGUAGCUUUAUACUACAUCUUGACAAAACAUUAACUUGUUGAGUUAGCAUAUACAGCAAGAAAAUGAACAAUACUGCUGACCCAGUACACCUUAUCAUGGGUGGGACCAUGCCACGGGGACCACAUAUGUCAGUUUUGCUGCUCCUUGCAUCUCAAAGUCCAAAAACAUAUUCUUUAUGCAAGAAAAACAUGUUAUGUAAACCUAUAGAUAUCACACGUUUUCCACCCAUGUCAUUCUAAAGUCUAUAAUGUUAGGUGAAUUUAGCAUGAUCAGCAUAUAAUUUCCCACAAUAUCCCAGAGUCAAAUAAAUAUCCCUCUUUGCACUGCACUGUUAGUACUUACAUGUUAAUGUUUUAGUAUUUAGUUUUAUUUCAUCAGUUUAUUUUCUGUUGCACCAGAACUGCCGAAGAACUUCUUGUUUGAGUUUUUGUCACUGCUAAAGGCAAUAAAACAGAUUCUGAUGUGAAA